GACGAACGCUGGCGGCGUGCUUAACACAUGCAAGUCGAACGGAAAGGCCCCUUUGGGGGUACUCGAGUGGCGAACGGGUGAGUAACACGUGAGUAACCUGCCCUUGACUUCGGGAUAACUUCAGGAAACUGGGGCUAAUACCGGAUAGGAAUCCUUGCUGCAUGGUGGGGGUUGGAAAGCUUCGGCGGUUUUGGAUGGACUCGCGGCUUAUCAGCUUGUUGGUGGGGUAGUGGCUUACCAAGGCUUUGACGGGUAGCCGGCCUGAGAGGGCGACCGGCCACAUUGGGAAUGAGAUACGGCCCAGACUCCUACGGGAGGCAGCAGUGGGGAAUAUUGCACAAUGGGCGGAAGCCUGAUGCAGCAACGCCGCGUGCGGGAUGACGGCCUUCGGGUUGUAAACCGCUUUCAGCAGGGGCGAAGCUUGUGGUGACGGUACCUGCAGAAGAAGCACCGGCUAACUACGUG
rnacentral:rRNA from 1 species